rnacentral:rRNA from 1 species
AGCAGUCGCCACGGGAAUACGUAGGUGGCAAGCGUUGUCCGGAAUUAUUGGGCGUAAAGGGCUCGCAGGCGGUUUCUUAAGUCUGAUGUGAAAGCCCCCGGCUCAACCGGGGAGGGUCAUUGGAAACUGGGAAACUUGAGUGCAGAAGAGGAGAGUGGAAUUCCACGUGUAGCGGUGAAAUGCGUAGAGAUGUGGAGGAACACCAGUGGCGAAGGCGACUCCCUGGUCUGUAACUGACGCUGAGGAGCGAAAGCGUGGGGAGCGAACAGGAUUAGAUACCCCCGUAGUCCCUGUCUCUUAUAC